rnacentral:rRNA from 1 species
UACGAAGGGUGCAAACGUUGCUCGGAAUUAUUGGGCGUAAAGCGCACGUAGGCGGCAUUGCAAGUCGGAUGUGAAAUCCCUCGGCUUAACCAAGGAAGUGCAUCCGAAACUGCAGUGCUUGAGUACUUAAGAGGAUCGCGGAAUUCCCGGUGUAGAGGUGAAAUUCGUAGAUAUCGAGAGGAACACCGGUGGCGAAGGCGGCCUUCUGGACAGUGACUGACGCUGAGACGCGAAAGCGUGGGGAGCAAACAGG